GAAACGGAACCAGUUCAGGAGGCACUGCGGUUAAGGUCAACUGGAUGCCUUAUCUCCAUGCUGCUGGUUUCUUUCUGUGGCAGAGCCCAUGCCCAUAAAUGUAAUUAGCCCCACAGAAUGGGAAAGCUUUGAGUCUUUAGAUGGGAACUAAUUAGUUCUGGUUUGGAGUUGGAAAAGGAGAAAGUAGAAAUUAAGAUUCAUUCUGACCUUGUCCAACUUCAAGGUGCUUUAUUGAUGUGGCACUCAAGAGUAGUACCAUCCUCAAUUACUUCUAGUUCUCCUACUUUUCUAAACUUUCCUUCAUAAUUUCCUCCGUCACUUUCUCCUUACAUAUUCUUUACGUGUGAGAGUUCCUUAGGCUUAUGUUUCUGGUCCUUUUCUAUAUUUCUACCUACUUUUUCUGGAUGAAUUUUUAUCAUGUUUUCAAACAUCAUCUAAAUGCUAAUGUCUUCCAAAUCUAUCUCUUUAGCCUCAUGGUCAAAAUCAUAUUUCCAGCGGCCUGUUUAACAGUUUGACCUGGGUGUCCUUCAGCCACAUGAAUUCAACGUGUCUAUACCUGCAUUCAACAUCUUCCCUAAAAUCUGCUUCUCCUAUUUUGCGUCUUGUCUUGGCUGACGUCAUCAUCACACAACCAGUUUCUCCAGCUGAAACAUGAGUCAUCCUCUUCCUUCAUCUCUCUCACCCUCCCAAGACAAUUGUCAACCUCUGUCAAUUAUACCGCAGAAAUGUUGCUCAAAUGUAAUUCCUUCAUGUAUCUCCGCAUUCCCCUUGCCUUUCACGUACCUGGAACACAAGUGCCCAAUAAGUAUUUGUUGACUAGUAAUUGCCCAAUGAAUGCUGUAAGAAGAAAAGAUGAAGAAAAGGAGAAAACAAGGUAAGGAAAGGAAGAAGGGAGAUGGAAGGAAGGAAAGAGGCAGAUGUUUGCAAAGCAUGCUUUACAAAGACAUGAGCCAUUUUGUGGAUAACUGUAGCAUUGUUGCCUUAUGUUUACUGGAGAAAAAAUAAAAUGAAUAACCAUAAUAACAAUGACAAAAAAGUUAUUUUCCUUCCCAGUAUUUUUUCCUUGACAAUACCAAACUAAAAGUUUCAUUCUGGUUAUUACGAUCUCCAUUGUGGUUAUUAUGCCAUACAAAGAUGAACUCAUUGACAAAGAAAAAUAUCAAGAAUCUUCCCCUGAUGACAAAGUAUAGCCCCAAAACUUAAUAGAAGGUCUUUGUUACCCUUUGUGGCACCCUGGGGGAUUUUUCAUCCCACUCCAAUACCCCCACCUAGGAGAGAACCUGUCAGUCUCUCCAGUAAUUUCUGCCACGAUGCUCACUGGGCCGUUACGUAGACUGACUUGCUUCUCUAUUGCUACUUAUCUUGUAUCUUUAAGGCCAUGUGAACUCGAUUGAAUUACAAGUCUUUGUAGGCAGUUGCUAUGCCUUAUAUGUUCUUUAAUUUUCCUAGUUCUUAUUGAUUGAUUUAUGUAUUCAGAAACUCUUUGUUGAGUGCCUGCUCUGUACCAGACACUGUGCAAGGCACUAUAGGUGUAACUGUGAAAAGAACAGAAAACAUAUCCAUUAUUCUGUACAUCCUCACAGAGGCUGUAAAUAAAUACUGUUGACAUCAGUUAUGAUAAUUGCCAACCCUAAUUGUCUGGGCAGAGUCAUAAACAGUGAGAUUGUAGGCUGAAACUGACCUACUAAAUUGGAAUCCUACUUGCUGCAAUAUGACCUUGCCAGGCUGGUCACUGGUGGAGCCUUGUGAUCUAUACAGAAUAUUGAGCAUUAGUCGCAGUAGUGAAGACAUGGAAACAACCUAAAAGUGUUCACCAGUAGAUGAAUGGAUAAAGCAAAUGUAGCAUAUAUACACAGUGGAAUACUAUUCAGCCUUAAAAAAGAAGGAAAUCUGGCUAUCUGCAACAACAUGGAUGAACUUGGAGGAUAUUAUAUAAGUGAAAUAAGCCAGGUACAGAAAGUUGUCUGCCCUAUUGCUCAACAAGAUAAAAUGUCUGGGCUGGUGGCUAGAGGCUGGAGGAAGAAUCUGGAGAGAGAGAGAGACUGUGGAAAAGGCAUAGAAAGACCUUUGACAUAGCAGAAGAUAUUUCUUUGAGGGACUUAGGAACUUCAUUCUGCAAAUCUGUUUCCAAUGCCUGUUAAGUACAAAGCACUGUGUGGACAUGUUCCUAUUCUCAAGACAUUUGCUAUACAAUAGGAAGGAGAGGAGGGCCUGCUCUUUGCCAAACACUGUCCUAGGAGUUUUGCACACUCCAUUGAGUAUUCUCCAUAUUUUUUAACAGCCCUCAGAGAGUCUGGAUCCAUUGCAGCCAUUUUGAAAUUAACAAAUAAUAAGGGAAGGCCAACAAGGACAGAUUAAAAGUAUAAUGAAUCAUAACAAGAGCUUCAUCCUCCUGGAAUUAUUGGUUUAGUAGUACGAUUUAGGAAAAUGAAUACAAUCAUAAGGUGGGAUCUUAACCAAAGAUGGUCAAAUCAUUGGGGGAAACAGCUCUCAGAAAGUGAGCAGCAUG